rnacentral:tRNA from 1 species
UUUUAUAUAGUUUAAAUUAAAACAUUAUAUUUUCAUUAUAAAAAAAAAGGAUUAUCCUUUUAUAAAAU